GACUGAAGUGGAGAAGGGUUCCACGUGAACAGUAGUUGGAUGUGGGUCAGUCGAUCCUAAGGUACUGGCGAAAGCCUUGUAUCAUCGGUGGCGAAAAGCUUGCUUUUUGUCCCCGCCCGUCGAAAGGGAAUAGGGUUAAUAUUCCCUAACUGAGAUGCAAAGAUUGUGUUCUUCGGAGCACAAGCGCGGUAACGCGUUCGAACUUGGUAAGUCGCUCAGAGACCGAGCUAGAGUUUUCUUCUCUAGUUAAGGAACGGACUCCCUGGAAUUGGUUCAGCCAGAGAUGGGGACGUUGUUUCCGAAAAGCACCGCGGUUUCUGUGGUGUCUCGUGCUCUCUGAACGGCCCUUUAAACACCAAGGGAGGCUAUUAAUUUGCACUCAAUCGUACCGAUAUCCGCAUUAGGUCUCCAAGGUGAACAGCCUCUAGUCGAUAGAAUAAUGUAGGUAAGGGAAGUCGGCAAACUAGAUCCGUAACUUCGGGAAAAGGAUUGGCUCCAGUGGUCGGAACGGUUGGCCAGUUGGUUGAUGCUUGUCCGGCGCUGUUCUGUCUGCUUGAUGCUUUCGGGCUGAUGGCGGCCUAGUGAUAGUGCUUGCUUGUUGACGCUUUCUGGUGUGUGCUUUGACCUCGGUCUUAGUAUCCUGAUCGUUCAUCUAAACGACUAAACUGGAACCGGUACGGACUCAGGGAAUCCGACUGUCUAAUUAAAACAGAGGUGACAGAUGGUCCUUGCGGACGCUGACUGUCACUGAUUUCUGCCCAGUGCUCUGAAUGUUAAAUCGUAGUAAUUCGAGUAAGCGCGGGUAAACGGCGGGAGUAACUAUGACUCUCUUAAGGUAGCCAAAUGCCUCGUCAUUUAAUUGUUGACGCGCAUGAAUGGAUUAACGAGAUUCCUACUGUCCCUAACUACUAUCUAGCGAAACCACAGCCAAGGGAACGGGCUUGGCAAAAAUAGCGGGGAAAGAAGACCCUGUUGAGCUUGACUCUAGUUUGACAUUGUGAAGAGUCAUGAGAGGUGUAGCAUAGGUGGGAGUCUUCGGACGCCAAUGAAAUACCACCACUUUCAUCGACUCUUUACUUAUUCGGUUAAAAGAGAA
rnacentral:ncRNA from 1 species